rnacentral:ncRNA from 2 species
UACCUGGUUGAUCCUGCCAGUAGUCAA